GCUUUUGGUUCAGUGGUGUAGAAUGCUCGCCUGCCACGCGGGCGCCCCGGGUUCGAUUCCCGGCCGAUGCA
rnacentral:tRNA from 1 species